GCGGCGUUGCUGGGAUACGGAGAGCGGCCGCCAUGACAGCGCCGCGCCGCCAUGACAGCGCCGCCAUGACGGCGCCGAGGCCUGGGCCGGCGGAGCCCCGGGCCGGGACCGAGCCGCGGCCAGGCGGGGGUUUGUCACCUUUAUUUCAUGGGCACGCGCAGUGCUGGCAGAGGCGCUGGCGGGGCUGAGCCUCUGGUCCAGGGUUCUAGAUCACAUUCUCAAAGAUCUGCAUGGAGCUCAUGAUGUCCUCGUCCUGGACGGGGCAGGAGGGAGACAUCAGAGCCCCCAGUCCCCCUCUUCCCGUUGGCCCCGGGGCGCCCAGAGCUCUCACCCCCCAUCUCUCCCAACCCCCCCCCAGCACGUCAUUUUGGGACGGGACGAGGAAUGGGGUUAUAUCUUGGACUCAGAGGCCUGGCAGCGAGGAGGAUACCGGUGACGCUGGAGCCCCUCCCUGGAGCUGCUCACCUUCUGGCACGUCUCCAGGAACUCCUCGAAGGUCACCACGCCAUCGCCAUUCCUGUCCAUCUUCUGUGAGGGAACAGCAGGGGCUCAGUGGGGACGUCCCCGGUGGGGAUGGCAGCUCCGGCCCGUGACAUGGCAGGGUUGGGUGGCUGCCGGGAGGGGACAACGCUGGACGGUCUCACCUGGAAGAACAACUCCACGUGCUCAGCAGGCGCGCUGUCCCUCAGGGCGGGGUGCGUGCAGCGCCCCAUCAUGUCGUAGAUAGACUUCAUGAUCUCCAGCAUCUCCUAGGAGGGGACAGAGCGGGGACAGGGUGACAAGAACCCUCUGAACAAGGGCACCUCCAUCCCCCAGCACCCAUUUCCACCAUCACCAUCCCUCUCUGGGUGUCCCCCGUGAUGCUCCCACCCUGCCCGGCCCCUCCAGUCCUUGCCCCUGCCCCGUCCCUGUGUCACCUCCUUGGUGAUGUAGCCGUCUUUAUUAAUAUCGUAGAGGUUGAAAGCCCACUUCAGCUUCUGGUGCACCGUUCCCCGCAGCAAGACGGAGAGGCCAACAGCAAAAUCCUGCCGGAGGAACCACAGCCGUGAGCGGGGACGUCCCACGGGCACCGCCGGCACGCCCCGACACCGAGGAGGCACCCGUGUCCUGCCUGGCUCGGCUGCUCGCCCCCCUCCAGCGGUGCCGCGGUGCUGCCAUCGAUCGCGGGACGCCCAGGGGAUUUAUUUUUUUUUCCCUAUUGAUCCCAUUUCUAUUCUCGCUCGUAGCUAUUUUUAAUCACCGCGGUAAAACCAGCGCCGGCCCCCCACCCUCCCCCCGCCAGACACCCCUGCCGCAGUGCCUGGAGCUCGCCCGGCGCAGCCUCCCGCCGUCAAGAGGUCCAAAGAUUUUGGCUGUCGCCGCUGUGCCGAGCUUUUAUCCCUGACCGCACGCGGGCGAGGAGGAAGAUCUGAUGAAUCACGCUGCUGGGCACGCUUACAGCCGGCCGCGGCUCGAGGAGCGCGGUGCCGGCACGGCUUUUCCCGGUGUGGAAGCAGCACGGGGAUGCUCACCUGGAAGCAGAGAGCCCCGUUGCGGUCGGCGUCGAAGGCGUCGAACAAGAAGUGCGCGUAGGUGCUGGCGUCUGCGAGGGGAGGAAGGCGAGAGCCGGUGAAGCCCCCCUCGGCCCCAGCACACACCAGCACCCCCAGACCCCCCAUGCCGGCCUCAGGGCUCCCCCCGACUCACCGCCUUGGGGGAAGAACUGCGAGUAGAUGAGCUUGAAAGUCUCCUCGUCCACGAGGCCGCUGGGACACUCCUGAGGAGGAGAGCGGGCGCCCAGUGAACCCCGGCUCCGCCAAAAUCUGCUCCCCGGCCACAGCGGUGUGGGGCCGGGGCGAGGGUCCCCCCGACACUCACGUUCUUGAAGCCGCGGUAGAGGGAUUGCAGCUCCUUCUUGGUGAACUUGGUCUGCGCCAGCAGCUGCUCCAGCCCCUCGGGUUGGUGCCGUACGGCCGAGAGCUCCAGCUCGGCAUCGCCGCUGUCUGCCGGGAGACGCCGGCAGAGACCCCCCGUGGAUCCAGCAUCAUCCUGUGCUCAGUCCCGGCCCGUUUCCCAUCCGGAUCCAACCUGGCUUAAGCCCAACCCCCCCGAUCUGGUGGCAGACCCCAAAUUCCCCUCGUUUCGGGAGGAAAACUGGAGCGUUCUGGCUUUCACAUCCCAAGGGCAAAGGCGGCCGACCCGGAGGGUUUCCCCAGGAGCCGCCGAACCCCUGCCCGUCUCCGGCGGCACGUUCCCAGGGCACGGAGCGUCUCGGAGCCGCCUCUCUCACCCCGACCCCGCUAAUGCUCCCUCCCGCCUGCGCCCGGCCUGGCGGAAGGUAAUUAAUAAAUGAUGGCUCAUUAAUAAUUCCAGCUUGGGGAGCCCCUGCGGACCCGUUCAGCGCCGAGAUGGGGAUAUCGGGAUCUUCUGGCCGGGCUGGGGAGAGGCUCCGCUGUGCCACACCGAUGGGCUCCAGGAUG